UGGGAAGGGUUCCUAGCCAUGUGGGAUCGCUCUGUCAUCCCUUUUCAAGGCUGAAGGAAUAUCACGGAGCUGGAAGAGGAGGCUGUAGAACUCUGUAGUCUGAGUAUGCCGUGUCCACAGCAGUCAUCUAGUGAGGAGUGGCUGGAAUGAAGCUCUCCGUGACAGGGACGGAAGCCAUACUAUAAAGGCUCCCACAGCACAGAAGGAAAAAAGGGAAAGCUCUGGGGCCAUCAGGAUCUCCCUUCUCUUCCAGAUCAGUUACCAGUUACCCUCAGGCAACAUACUUGUGCUAAAGAAAAGCCAUGAAGAAAAGCAGCCUUCCUUGGAGAAGAGUCAGUGUUCUCUGCUGUGAUCGAUCGGGUACUGCUCCUUAUUAGGCAUGCCUACCCCACUGCAUACGCUGUGGGUCCCUGAGAACCGUUCCCUACUGGGCAUGCUCCCAUCCAGCCCUCCAGGCUGGCUUUGCAUUGGUUUUCCCCACAGGUGUUCUCUUGCACUGUUAACUGCUGGCUCUUUCCCCCAU
rnacentral:lncRNA from 1 species